GACGAACGCUGGCGGCGUGCCUAAUACAUGCAAGUUGAGCGCUGAAGGUUGGUACUUGUACCGACUGGAUGAGCAGCGAACGGGUGAGUAACGCGUGGGGAAUCUGCCUUUGAGCGGGGGACAACAUUUGGAAACGAAUGCUAAUACCGCAUAAAAACUUUAAACACAAGUUUUAAGUUUGAAAGAUGCAAUUGCAUCACUCAAAGAUGAUCCCGCGUUGUAUUAGCUAGUUGGUGAGGUAAAGGCUCACCAAGGCGAUGAUACAUAGCCGACCUGAGAGGGUGAUCGGCCACAUUGGGACUGAGACACGGCCCAAACUCCUACGGGAGGCAGCAGUAGGGAAUCUUCGGCAAUGGACGAAAGUCUGACCGAGCAACGCCGCGUGAGUGAAGAAGGUUUUCGGAUCGUAAAACUCUGUUGGUAGAGAAGAAUGUUGGUGAGAGUGGAAAGCUCAUCAAGUGACGGUAACUACCCAGAAAGGGACGGCUAACUACGUG
rnacentral:rRNA from 1 species